UUGGUGAGGUAAUGGCUCACCAAGGCGACGACGGGUAGCCGGCCUGAGAGGGUGACCGGCCACACUGGGACUGAGACACGGCCCAGACUCCUACGGGAGGCAGCAGUGGGGAAUAUUGCACAAUGGGCGAAAGCCUGAUGCAGCGACGCCGCGUGAGGGAUGACGGCCUUCGGGUUGUAAACCUCUUUCAGCAGGGAAGAAGCCACAAGUGACGGUACCUGCAGAAGAAGCGCCGGCUAACUACGUGCCAGCAGCCGCGGUAAUACGUAGGGCGCAAGCGUUGUCCGGAAUUAUUGGGCGUAAAGAGCUCGUAGGCGGUUUGUCGCGUCUGCUGUGAAAGCCCGGGGCUUAACCCCGGGUGUGCAGUGGGUACGGGCAGACUAGAGUGCAGUAGGGGAGACUGGAAUUCCUGGUGUAGCGGUGGAAUGCGCAGAUAUCAGGAGGAACACCGAUGGCGAAAGCAGGUCUCUGGGCUGUUACUGACGCUGAGGAGCGAAAGCAUGGGGAGCGAACAGGAUUAGAUACCCUGGUAGUCCAUGCCGUAAACGUUGGGCACUAGGAUUAGGUGUGGGGACAUUCCACGUUUUCCGCGCCGUAGCUAACGCAUUAAGUGCCCCGCCUGGGGAGUACGGCCGCAAGGCUAAAACUCAAAGGAAUUGACGGGGGCCCGCACAAGCGGCGGAGCAUGCGGAUUAAUUCGAUGCAACGCGAAGAACCUUACCAAGGCUUGACAUAUACCGGAUCGUUCCAGAGAUGGUUCUUCCCCUUUGGGGUCGGUAUACAGGUGGUGCAUGGUUGUCGUCAGCUCGUGUCGUGAGAUGUUGGGUUAAGUCCCGCAACGAGCGCAACCCUCGUUCCAUGUUGCCAGCACGUGAUGGUGGGGACUCAUGGGAGACUGCCGGGGUCAACUCGGAGGAAGGUGGGGAUGACGUCAAAUCAUCAUGCCCCUUAUGUCUUGGGCUUCACGCAUGCUACAAUGGCCGGUACAAAGGGUUGCGAUACUGUGAGGUGGAGCUAAUCCCAAAAAGCCGGUCUCAGUUCGGAUUGAGGUCUGCAACUCGACCUCAUGAAGUCGGAGUCGCUAGUAAUCGCAGAUCAGCAACGCUGCGGUGAAUACGUUCCCGGGCCUUGUACACACCGCCCGUCAAGUCACGAAAGUCGGUAACACCCGAAGCCGGUGGCCCAACCCUUGUGGAGGGAGCCGUCGAAGGUGGGACUGGCGAUUGGACUAGUCUAUCUAGUUCCCCGUACAUGACCCGUGCUUUAUUUUC
rnacentral:rRNA from 1 species